GACGUAGGGCGCAAGCGUUGUCCGGAUUUAUUGGGCGUAAAGAGCUCGUAGGCGGUCUGUCGCGUCUGCUGUGAAAUCCCGAGGCUCAACCUCGGGCUUGCAGUGGGUACGGGCAGGCUAGAGUGCGGUAGGGGAGAAUGGAACUCCUGGUGUAGCGGUGGAAUGCGCAGAUAUCAGGAAGAACACCGAUGGCGAAGGCAGUUCUCUGGGCCGUAACUGACGCUGAGGAGCGAAAGCGUGGGGAGCGAACAGG
rnacentral:rRNA from 1 species